rnacentral:rRNA from 1 species
AUUGAACGCUGGCGGCAGGCCUAACACAUGCAAGUCGAGCGAGCGGCGGACGGGUGAGUAAUGUAUGGGGAUCUGCCCGAUAGAGGGGGAUAACUACUGGAAACGGUGGCUAAUACCGCAUACCAUCGGAUGUGCCCAGAUGGGAUUAGCUAGUAGGUGGGGUAACGGCUCACCUAGGCGACGAUCCCUAGCUGGUCUGAGAGGAUGACCAGCCACACUGGAACUGAGACACGGUCCAGACUCCUACGGGAGGCAGCAGUGGGGAAUAUUGCACAAUGGGCGCAAGCCUGAUGCAGCCAUGCCGCGUGUAUGAAGAAGGCCUUCGGGUUGUAAAGUACUUUCAGCGAGGAGGCGUUACUCGCAGAAGAAGCACCGGCUAACUCCGUGCCAGCAGCCGCGGUAAUUC